GAUGCAGUCGAUGCACUUGAUGCAGUUUUUUCAGAUUCCCAUGCAGAAUACAAUAAGAAUCUAAACAAUAUCAAAGAUAUUGCCAAGUCUGGAGAUUCUAGCGUAGCAA